rnacentral:rRNA from 1 species
AUUAGAUACCCUGGGUAGUCCACGCAGUAAACGAUGAAUACUAAUUGUUCGGUUCGAUUGAGAGCUGAGUGAUACAGCGAAAGCGUUAAGUAUUCCACCUGGGGAGUACGCCGGCAACGGUGAAACUCAAAGGAAUUGACGGGGGCCCGCACAAGCGGAGGAACAUGUGGUUUAAUUCGAUGAUACGCGAGGAACCUUACCCGGGCUUGAAUUGCAGAGGAAAGAUCCAGAGAUGGUGAUGCCCUUCGGGGCCUCUGUGAAGGUGCUGCAUGGUUGUCGUCAGCUCGUGCCGUGAGGUGUCGGCUUAAGUGCCAUAACGAGCGCAACCCCCAUCGCCAGUUACCAUCAAGUGAAGUUGGGGACUCUGGCGAGACUGCCGGCGCAAGCUGCGAGGAAGGCGGGGAUGACGUCAAAUCAGCACGGCCCUUACGUCCGGGGCGACACACGUGUUACAAUGGCAGGCACAGAGAGAAGCGACAUGGCGACAUGAAGCGGAACUGGUAAAACCUGUCUCAGUUCGGAUUGGAGUCUGCAACCCGACUCCAUGAAGCUGGAUUCGCUAGUAAUCGCGCAUC